rnacentral:tRNA from 1 species
UGUAAUUUAGUGUAUGAUGCACUUUAAUUUUUGAUAUUAAAGGACUAGUUUAAUUCUAGAAUUUACAA